GAGUUUGAUCCUGGCUCAGGACGAACGCUGGCGGCGUGCCUAACACAUGCAAGUCGAGCGAGAGACUUCGGUCUCUAGCGGCGGACGGGUGAGUAACACGUGGGUAACCUGCCUCAUAGAGGGGGAUAGCCUUCCGAAAGGAAGAUUAAUACCGCAUAACGUCAAGUUGUCGCAUGACAGUUUGAUCAAAGGAGUAAUCCGCUAUGAGAUGGACCCGCGGCGCAUUAGCUAGUUGGUGAGGUAACGGCUCACCAAGGCGACGAUGCGUAGCCGACCUGAGAGGGUGAUCGGCCACAUUGGAACUGAGAUACGGUCCAAACUCCUACGGGAGGCAGCAGUGGGGAAUAUUGCACAAUGGGCGAAAGCCUGAUGCAGCAACGCCGCGUGAGUGAUGAAGGCCUUCGGGUUGUAAAGCUCUGUCUUUGGGGACGAUAAUGACGGUACCCAAGGAGGAAGCCACGGCUAACUACGUGCCAGCAGCCGCGGUAAUACGUAGGUGGCAAGCGUUGUCCGGAUUUACUGGGCGUAAAGGAUGCGUAGGUGGAUAUUUAAGUCAGAUGUGAAAUACCCGAGCUUAACUUGGGUGCUGCAUUUGAAACUGGAUAUCUAGAGUGCAGGAGAGGUAAGUGGAAUUCCUAGUGUAGCGGUGAAAUGCGUAGAGAUUAGGAAGAACACCAGUGGCGAAGGCGACUUACUGGACUGUAACUGAC
rnacentral:rRNA from 1 species